rnacentral:lncRNA from 1 species
UUUACCUCCCCCUUCACUUUCCCUCGACUCGCUUCGCAAUCCCCCACGCGCUUCCCCUUUCCCCCACAAAUUCGAAACCUCCGAAUCCAUUUUCCGGCAAGCUUUCCGCGAAGCGAAAUCUCUGUCAAGAUGAACACCUCCGAUAUGGUGAGAAUCUCUGUUCAUCUGUAGAGACGCGUCUCCGUCGAUCUCCAGAUCUUUAGGCAUUUGGGUUCGCGAUGUCGUUCGC